CUGGGUCAUAACAGGAGCCAGCAGGAUAACGUGACUGGAUUACAUUAGAGGAGAUGGCCUGACCUGACUUCCAAUCCUCUCCAUAAUGGAGAAUAAUGGCUCACCCAGAAACAGGCAGAUCUUCAUGUUGAAGAGGUCCCAAGCAAGAUGCCCUCUCUGAAAAUGGGAUGGUCGACCUUUACAUGGUCAAGAGAAGACAAAUGGAGAGCACAUAAAGACAUACAUUUAUGGUGAGGACAAUGACCCAAAGAAAACAAGCUGCCAGGACUGAUUUCCAGUCUGUGAAGAAUGGCCUGAGGAUGGGGAUCCAACAGCCAUUCUGAAGCAGGACUGUGGAAACAACUAUUAAGGGAGGGGAGAAAAAAGCUUUCACCCUUGGUAAGAACAUGAAAAAUUAACAGUCAUUCAAAUUGAUGGCACACUUUGUGAUGAGCUUAUAACAGAUUGUUCUUUCUUUUUCACCCACAGCACCGUGACGGAAUAGAAAGCUGA